CUACGUGCCAGCAGCCGCGGUAAUACGUAGGGCGCGAGCGUUGUCCGGAAUUAUUGGGCGUAAAGAGCUUGUAGGCGGUUUGUCGCGUCUGCUGUGAAAGGCCGGGGCUUAACCCCGUGUAUUGCAGUGGGUACGGGCAGACUAGAGUGCAGUAGGGGAGACUGGAAUUCCUGGUGUAGCGGUGGAAUGCGCAGAUAUCAGGAGGAACACCGAUGGCGAAGGCAGGUCUCUGGGCUGUAACUGACGCUGAGAAGCGAAAGCAUGGGGAGCGAACAGGAUUAGAUACCCUGGUAGUCCAUGCCGUAAACGAUGAUUACUAGGUGUUGGGGGUCGAACCUCAGCGCCCAAGCUAACGCGAUAAGUAAUCCGCCUGGGGAGUACGUACGCAAGUAUGAAACUCAAAGGAAUUGACGGGGACCCGCACAAGCGGUGGAGCAUGUGGUUUAAUUCGACGCAACGCGAGGAACCUUACCAGCGUUUGACAUC
rnacentral:rRNA from 1 species